GUCGCUCAUACCGAUGGACUUCUCUGUGAGUUUGAGGGACUGGAUUUUAUAUCUAUGGAAACUCAAACGAACAGUGUGGUCUAAAGGAAAGAGAAGUCGUAACAAGGCAUCGG
rnacentral:rRNA from 1 species